UUAAGAACGGGGUAACAGUGCUGAGCUCUUGUUUGUAUACCAAGCAUUUUGGCAAAAAAAACUGCUAAAAAAAUAUGGGAAUGAGAUGUUGUUUUUAGAUGCAACAUACAAAACGACACGAUAUUCUUUACCUUUGUUUUUUUGGGUUGUCAAAACAAAAGUGGAUUAUCAAACUGUAGCAACCUUUGUAAGCGAAAGUGAAACUUUUGAAUCGAUAUCUGAAGCACUUGUUAUCUUAAAGUCUUGGAAUGAAGAUUUGCAACCUCUUUAUUGCAUGACUGAUUAUUGUAAUGCUGAGAUACGUGCUCUCGAAACUAUUUUUAUUGGAUGUAAGGUAUUUAUAUGUGACUUUCACAGAGAACAGUCUUGGGACCGUUGGCUAUAAAAGCUAUCAAGUGGUUGCUCUAACAGAAAAGAUGAUAUUUUAUGUAUUUUAAGACGACUCGCUUGGUCAAAGUCAAUUGACGAGGAAGAAAAUGCUCAAAGAAUAUUGGAACAGUCUGAAUUCUGGAGUCAAGAAAGCUUUACUAAGUUUAAACAAUAUAUAGAAAAGUAUUGGCUCCCAAUUAAAUAAAGGUGGGUUUGGUGGUACAGGCAGGAUUGUCUUCUUAUCAAUUGCAAUACAAACAAUGGUGUGGAAAGGCAGAAUGAGUCUUUUAAAUAUACUUAUUUACAGCGACAUAAAAACUCAUCAUUGACUGGAAUGUUAACUUUGCUUAUUGAUGACUUCUUCAUUGAUAAACUUGACAGCUAUACUGAUUCCAGCUUUAAAAUGGAUGCACGUUACAGAAGGUAUGCACGUUGUGUGCCAAGUUAUCU